CUCAUUUUCUCAUAAUCAACCGCACCUUUCUCUUUCUGUCUCUACUCUCUCUUCUCCUCUCUCUAAACCAUCAGCGUUGCUACUUCUUUAUGUUGGCCGCCACCGAAGAAGCCACAAUGUCUUUCUCUCCAUACCUUCUUUCCAGAUGCCAUAUCACCAUCUCCACCUCAACUCUGAGGGACCACAAUAAUGUUGUUGCCGUCAGUCUACCCCAAAGAUCCAGCUAGUUGCCGGUGAACCUCCUAUUUUCUCCGCUUCUCACUGAAAUGAUGCCAGCCGCCAUCGAUGCCUCCACUGCUCCAGCCGGUGAAACCUGCUCCAGUAGCCACCGACCGCCUUCUCCAUCACAUACAGCCACCACUAUUACUUCCUCGUGAAUUUCCAUGCGACGAUGGACCAAUCCUCGCCGGCAAAGCGAUGGAUUAUCAAAGAACCCAUCUCCAGAUAAAAGAUGUCUCCCAAAAGAAAAGAAAGUGAAAGUGGAUCAACUUUUGCCCAACCAACCUAAAAGGCUAGAGUAAAGAUGGGUUCGAGGGAAUAAGCUGCUUACAGAUGGAACCACUUCAUAUAUGGGAGGUAUGUAUUACUGAUAAUGUUGUCUUGAAAACACACAUAGAGUACACUGAUUUUGUGAAUGCAUUUUUUAUCGAUUAGGCAUUAAUCAUUCAAACAAGAUAUUGCAUUUUAUAGUUAAGAUUGAUAGGUUCGAACUGAUAAGGCUGAGGGACCAAGUAGGUGGUGUCAAUACCCUAUUACAGUUUAAUAAUGUUUUUGCUAAUGUUUAUGUGUCAAUUUUAGAGAAAGGAUCAAGUUUUUGCUAGCAGUGUAAAAAUUCAAUAGUGAUUGGACUUAUUUUAUGGGUUAAAUGGACUUUUAAAAGGCCUUCGAAGCCUCGCAUUGCUGUAAAGAAGAAGGGAAAUCAAUAUAGUAAUUGCCUUGGUCCAAAUUUAUAUGGUUGGGUAACUUAGAGUGAUAAUUAUAGAAUGAAAGGUGCUCGGGAGAAUAUCUGCUAUGGAAAGGGAAGGUAUUGAAGACUAUAUAUCAACUCAAACCUUAUUAAAGAAGAAAUGCAGGGUAGCAAGGAACGUGUAGUGAAUCUAGCUGAUGAAAUUGACAUAAAAAUGAGAAAACUGAAUGAGCUAAAAAUGAAAGUGUAUAAAAAAUCAAAAUCCAUCACUCAUUGUUGAAAAAAAAUGGUGAAAUCUAUUGGAGAUGUGCACUUUUCUAGGUAACUGCAAAUAGUUAGCGUGGUCUGAAUGAUCACCUCCAAAGUAAGGAACAAAACUCAAAGAAAGUAGCUUUGUGAGCAUCGAGGGUUGGAAAGAUGGACAGUUAGGAACGAAUAAUAAACUAAGAACUCCUGAAGUAAAAAGAUGGGAUUAAGCGAAGGUGGCAAUUUCUAAAGUUAAAUUUACAUCCUAGGCCUUCUGGUUGUGGUUCUAAUCAGGUCAAAGGUAGUGGAAACAAAAGGGAAUGUGAUUUCUGCCCAACUUCAGACCUUUUUGUUUACACUGCUAUUGACAUGAUCAGAACCACAAAUAGAAGGCAUGAGAUGCAAGGUAGACUUCAUAAAUUCACACCUUGGAUUUCCUUAUUUUUACUUCAGAAGUUCUUGGUUUAAGUUUCAUUCCUGAUUGUACAGCUUUCCAAUCCUCGAUGCUCGUAAAGCUACUUCCUUGGAGUUCCAUUCCUUUCUUUGGAGGUUAUCAUUCAAGCCAUGCUAAAUAGUUGUAAUUACCUAGCAAAGUGUCUAGAUCUAGUCCACUUUGUCAUUUUUCUUUUCAAGAACGACGAUCGGAUUUUAAUUUCUUGAUACACUUUCAUAUUUACAUCUCAUUCAGUUUUUUCAUCUUUCAAGUCAAUUUUAUUGGCCAGAUUAGCUAGAAGUUCCUUGCUUGCUACCUUCUGUGCCCUCUUUAACAAGGUCUGAGAUUAUAUAGUCUUCAACAGCUCCCCUUUUCCAUGCAAGUAUUCUCAUAUGGCAUGUUUUGCAAUAUAAUUGUCUCCCAAAGCUACCCAUCCAUAUAAAUUUGGACCAGGAAAAUUUCUAUUCAUUUACCGUUAUUGUUUCCUGCACUAGGAGGCUUCGAAGGCCUUCUCAAAGUCUAUUGCACCAUUAAAAUCAAUCCACAUCACUAUUGAAUCUCUACACUGUUAUCAAAUAUUAAUCCCUUCUCAAAACAUGACACAUAAACAUGAGCAAAAUUAUCAUUAAAUUAUAAUAGGGUAUCAACACCACCUUCUUGGAGCCCUUCGGCCUUAUUAGUUUGCACCUAUCAAACUUAAUUGUAAAAUGCAGGAUCUUGUUUAAAGAAUUAAUGCCUAAUCGGUAAAAAACUACAUUUACAAAAUCAUUGUACUUUAUGUAUGUUGUCACGAUAACUAGAUCAGUAAUAUAUAACUCCCACGCAUGAAAGUGGAUCCAUCGAUCUGCACACACCUUAUUCUUCCUAUCCUAUUAAUGUCAAAUAGUGUUUAAUUUUCAGUUCCUAUCAUAAAGUACUGUACAAAACUACGGAGACUCAAAGGGUAACCAUCUUCAAUGUCAAAGGACUACAUGCCUGUCAAGAAAAAACAAGUGUUAUAUAUGUAGUGUACCAUCAUCAUUGUAAUAGUAAAAUUAUGUUGUUGUUUGUUAUGAACUUUCAUAAUUUUAACUCA